UAGAAGCUGGAAUAUUUUGUUUUUGCUGUAUUACUUUGAGAUAUUUAUAUGUAACCAUUCUGCUUAGCUUCUAGCACACCAACAGUUUCUAUUCAACCAGAUGUUUCAGGUGCUUGGGACUGGCCCAGCAAACCAGGUGGCCUAGGUAUGGGAAGUAGGUCAGCUGCCACCAGUCCUACGGGAUCCCUUCACAGCACUCCCACUCAUCAUCCCAAACCCCAAACACUGGAUCCAUUUGCUGAUUUGGGCACUCUUGGAGCAAGUUUAGCAGGCGCUCCUUCGUUUGCCAGCAAACCCACCACCCCGACGGGGCUCGGCGGGGGCUUCCCCCCGUCGCCGCAGAGACCCUCUC